rfam:Papio anubis isolate 1X1155 chromosome 19, whole genome shotgun sequence.
AUCUAUGGCCAUAUCACCUUGAUUCCAGAAGCUGAGCAGUGUCGGGCCUUGCCAGUACCUUGAUGUGAGACCACCUGGAAAUACUGGGUGCUGUACACU